CUUCGAUGAAGAGAUGAUGACGAGUCUGAAGAGGUGUUGUCUUUUGUCCAGGAGGCCUCACUGUGCCGCGUUCUGUGGCCCAGCUGGAAGCACCGGUCAAAGAAACUUCCUCAAGAUGACCUACAGGCAUUUGUCUGAGAAGG